rnacentral:lncRNA from 1 species
UCUUGCAGUUAGUCAUUAGCCUUGAAUUAACUUUACUCUCCCUAUUUAUUUAGCUAUUGUCAAACAUUUUUCAUAAGACAUAAGUUAAGCUUAAUUUUUUUAGAAACCCAAUUCACCCUCCCUCUUGGGUUGCAUAGCUGGGCAACAAGACCUUAGUCAAAGAUAAAGGCAGUCUUUUCUUCAUCCUCGGAUACUAAUCAUAUGUGGUUGUUGCCAGAGAAGGCAUACAUGAAGGUCAAAAACUCAUACUAAUCUACCAACUAGUUGAUGCAAGGUAAUGGGUAGCUAUCUUUUGGGCACACCUUGUUU